rnacentral:rRNA from 1 species
GAUGAACGCUAGCUACAGGCUUAACACAUGCAAGUCGCGGGGCAGCAUGGGGGUUGCUUGCAAUCCCCGAUGGCGACCGGCGCACGGGUGAGUAACGCGUAUCCAACCUGCCCUUCACCACGGGAUAACCCGGCGAAAGUCGGACUAAUACCGUAUGUUGUCCAUUGACGGCAUCCGAUUUGGACGAAAGGGUUGGCGGUGAAGGAUGGGGAUGCGUCCGAUUAGCUGGACGGCGGGGUGACGGCCCACCGUGGCGACGAUCGGUAGGGGUUCUGAGAGGAAGGUCCCCCACACUGGAACUGAGACACGGUCCAGACUCCUACGGGAGGCAGCAGUGAGGAAUAUUGGUCAAUGGGCGUAAGCCUGAACCAGCCAAGUAGCGUGCAGGAUGACGGCCCUAUGGGUUGUAAACUGCUUUUAUGCGGGGAUAAAGUGGCCCACGUGUGGGUUUUUGCAGGUACCGCGUGAAUAAGGACCGGCUAAUUCCGUG